GAUGAAGAACGCAGCGAAAUGCGAUACUUGGUGUGAAUUGCAGAAUCCCGUGAACCAUCGAGUCUUUGAACGCAAGUUGCGCCCGAAGCCAUUAGGCCGAGGGCACGCCUGCCUGGGCGUCACACGUCGUUGCCCCCCCAUCUACUCCUUCGGGAUUGCGGGGGGCGGAUGAUGGCCUCUCGUGCGCCUCGUCGCGCGGUUGGCCUAAAUGCCAAGUCCUCGGCGACGCACGCCACGACAAUCGGUGGUUGCGAAACCUCGGUUGCCUGUCGUGUGCGGUCAUCGCGCAUCGAGGGCUCGAAAAAAUUGCCGGGCUUCGGCUCGACUUUCAACGCGACCCCAGGUCAGGCGGGGUUACCCGCUGAAUUUAAGCAUAUCAAUAAGCGGAGGA
rnacentral:misc_RNA from 1 species